UUGUAGCUGGGGGGUGGCUCUCGCCAGGAAGCAGGAAGCCAGGAGGUGGGUCAGGUAACGGUAAACCAGGAGCUUGCCUGGCAAUCAAACAAACGCUGCCUCCCUCCCACACCCAUGCCGAGAUGCAGCUCCACGUUGAAUGAAAGUUCGUCCUGUGCCGAGAUUGUAGUUUGUAUUCAAUCAAAAGUUUCAAUUUUUCUGUGGCGCUCAUAAAAUGUUGGCCACCGACCCACCAUCCGCCCAUCUCCAGCUGGCGGGCUGACCUCUUGCCAGCCAACGGCAGAGACUGGAACUGGAGCUCCGGUUCCAGAUUCCGGUGCCAAACUAUGCGUAGUAUUGCUUUAAUGACGCUCUGCCACUGGCCAAAGGGUUUCUCUAAGCCUGCCUCCCAAGUGUUCUAUUUUCUAUAGAUUUUGUUUCUUAUUUUUUGGUUCGUGGCAAACUUUAAUUUGGAAACUAUGCGAAAGGUCCGCAGCCAGACAGACAGACGACGUCGUUUCCUUGGAUGUGGACGCGUGUGGGGCACAGAGUUGAAGAAGCCAAGAAGAAUUUAAUUUGUUUGUAAUUUUGUGUAGACGAGUGAAGCACAGCUACAGAGAAAAUAUAGAUGGAAAAGUAGCACAGGAAAAAUAAAGAUGAAAAAGUAUGCGAGUGGUGCAGG
rnacentral:lncRNA from 1 species